rnacentral:sRNA from 1 species
UGCCCCUUUUCCCCACCCUGUGAGUAAAAUUGCCCCCACCUUGACUUGCCAGGCCUCAGUGACAACCGAAAGACCCAAGAAGGGGAAACGGACCAGCCGCAUGUGGUGCACCCAGAGCUUUGCCAAGGAUGACACCAUUGGACGGGUUGGUCGUCUCCAUGGCUCUGUUCCCAACCUGUCUCGCUACCUGGAGUCUCGGGACUCCUCGGGCACCCGUGGGCUGCCACCCACAGACUAUGCCCACCUGCAGCGCAGCUUCUGGGCCCUGGCCCAGAAGGGUAAGUGCAUGCUGGGAGGGGCUGGUGGGGAGUGGACAGGAGCGAGCGAGGACUCUGAUGGUCUGCCCCACUCCCUGUAGUGCACAGCUCCCUCAGCAGCGUCCUGGCCGCCCUCACCAUGGAACGGGACCGACUGAGGGACAUGCACCAGGGCUCAGAGUUGUCAAGGAUGGGGGUGAGGCCUGGGGGACAGGGUGGCUGGUGCGGGGAGAGGGCUUCAAGCUGAGGACUGCCAGCCUGGGGUCUGAUAGCAGAUCUGGGUCAGGGUGGGGGGUUGGCAGAGGCAGUCUCUGCAGA